rnacentral:rRNA from 1 species
GCAGUCGAGCGAUGGAUUAAGAGCUUGCUCUUAUGAAGUUAGCGGCGGACGGGUGAGUAACACGUGGGUAACCUGCCCAUAAGACUGGGAUAACUCCGGGAAACCGGGGCUAAUACCGGAUAAUAUUUUGAACUGCAUGGUUCGAAAUUGAAAGGCGGCUUCGGCUGUCACUUAUGGAUGGACCCGCGUCGCAUUAGCUAGUUGGUGAGGUAACGGCUCACCAAGGCAACGAUGCGUAGCCGACCUGAGAGGGUGAUCGGCCACACUGGGACUGAGACACGGCCCAGACUCCUACGGGAGGCAGCAGUAGGGAAUCUUCCGCAAUGGACGAAAGUCUGACGGAGCAACGCCGCGUGAGUGAUGAAGGCUUUCGGGUCGUAAAACUCUGUUGUUAGGGAAGAACAAGUGCUAGUUGAAUAAGCUGGCACCUUGACGGUACCUAACCAGAAAGCCACGGCUAACUACGUGCCAGCAGCCGCGGUAAUACGUAGGUGGCAAGCGUUAUCCGGAAUUAUUGGGCGUAAAGCGCGCGCAGGUGGUUUCUUAAGUCUGAUGUGAAAGCCCACGGCUCAACCGUGGAGGGUCAUUGGAAACUGGGAGACUUGAGUGCAGAAGAGGAAAGUGGAAUUCCAUGUGUAGCGGUGAAAUGCGUAGAGAUAUGGAGGAACACCAGUGGCGAAAGGCGACUUUCUGGUCUGUAACUGACACUGAGGCGCGAAAGCGUGGGGAGCAAAC